AUGGCAGAACCUAAACAAGACUGGCUGCCAAAAUGCGUGCCCAGUUGGGGAGAAGUGUGUGGGGAAUCAUCCAGCCCACUUUCAGAGCUCCCAGAGCAGCCUGGGAGAACUCUGCAUUACCUUCUGUUCCCGUUCCUGAGCCCUGCCAAACUUUUGUUUGAAAAAGCAUCUUUAUGCAGCAGUACAUUUGCUACAUUGUAUCUGAGAACACUUUCCACAUUGGCUCCUGCUUGCUACUUGACUGAAAUGACUUGUUCUGUUGAGCUGUUCCUACAGCAGACAGAGCCCAGAAGCACCCAAGUGCCCGGGGUCCUAGCACUUGACCCUCACAGUGUGGCAUUCCUCGAGGCGCGGGCCCAACAAGACUACGGAGUCCCUGGGACAACCAGAGUUUCAGUCACUGCUGCAAAGUACGAAUCUAAGACUCAGAAGUCUACAGGCUCUCACGCAAUGCCAAUGAUGACAACGACUCUGCAGCCUCAUCCCCAACCUCAGAAGGGAACAGAGGGAACACAGAGUUCUAUAUGGCCCAUCUCCAAAAUUCUCACAAUCUCCAUCUUGCCAACAUGUACCACAGAUAAGGGAGUAAAGAAGUCGUCGGUGCAGGGUAAUGAGCUGAACUGUUUAUCGCCGUCCGUCGCCUGUCUGGCCAUUUUUGUAGAAUAUUCAGUGAGGUGUACAAGGUUCUGGAAAUAACUUCAAAGACAUGAAAAGAAGGGAGGGAGGGAGGAAAAGAAGGGGAAAGGAGAAAAAAGGGGGCAGGGAGGGUGGAAGGGGGUGCAGUCAGAGGUGAAGGGAAUAGGAAUAGGCCCACUGUACUGGCUCAUAGCCAUGCAGAAACUCUUUUGUGUAUAGAUUAAAUAUAAAUUAUUCCAUAGACUAAAUGGUAGUCAUAUAGUGGGCCUAUGGGAAAUAGAAUACCUGCACUACCAUAGUCUUUAUUCUAUUGUAUUCAGUUUGACUUUUACAAGAAUCUGUGUGUAAGCAGUGUUAAGGCUUGGUUUCUGCAAUGCAAAAAUAAAUGCAAAUACAUAUGUGUGUAUAUAUGAAUG
rnacentral:lncRNA from 1 species